AUUGCUUCUAGGCCUUUUGGUGAAGAUCAAGUGUAGUAUCUGUUCUUAUCAGUUUAAUAUCUAAUUUAUUUGCAUCCUGGCUUGUAACAGGAAUCGUGUGGCCAGCAGGAGCAGGGAGGUGAUGGUGCCCCUGCACUGGGCACUGGGGAGGCCGCCCCUCGAAUGCUGUGCUCAGC
rnacentral:snRNA from 1 species